rnacentral:rRNA from 1 species
AAGGUAGGGUUAAUGACUGGGGUGAAGUCGUAACAAGGUAGCCGUAUCGGAAGGUGCGGCUGGAUCACCUCCUUUCUAAGGAG